rnacentral:rRNA from 1 species
UACGUAGGGCGCAAGCGUUGUCCGGAAUUAUUGGGCGUAAAGAGCUCGUAGGCGGCCUGUUACGUCUGCUGUGAAAUCCCGGGGCUUAACCCCGGGCGUGCAGUGGAUACGGGCAGGCUGGAGGCAGGCAGGGGAGAACGGAAUUCCCGGUGUAGCGGUGAAAUGCGCAGAUAUCGGGAAGAACACCGGUGGCGAAGGCGGUUCUCUGGGCCUGUACUGACGCUGAGGAGCGAAAGCGUGGGGAGCGAACAGG